GACGAACGCUGGCGGCGUGCCUAAUACAUGCAAGUAGAACGCUGAAGCGAGGAGCUUGCUCUUCUUGGAUGAGUUGCGAACGGGUGAGUAACGCGUAGGUAACCUGCCUUGUAGCGGGGGAUAACUAUUGGAAACGAUAGCUAAUACCGCAUAACAAUGGAUGACACAUGUCAUUUAUUUGAAAGGGGCAAUUGCUCCACUACAAGAUGGACCUGCGUUGUAUUAGCUAGUAGGUGAGGUAAUGGCUCACCUAGGCGACGAUACAUAGCCGACCGAGAGGGUGAUCGGCCACACUGGGACUGAGACACGGCCCAGACUCCUACGGGAGGCAGCAGUAGGGAAUCUUCGGCAAUGGGGGCAACCCUGACCGAGCAACGCCGCGUGAGUGAAGAAGGUUUUCGGAUCGUAAAGCUCUGUUGUAAGUCAAGAACGGGUGUGAGAGUGGAAAGUUCACACUGUGACGGUAGCUUACCAGAAAGGGACGGCUAACUACGUG
rnacentral:rRNA from 1 species